rnacentral:rRNA from 1 species
UCAGUUCAGACUGCAGGCUACAACUCGCCUGCACGAAGUCGGAAUUGCUAGUAAUCGUAGGUCAGCAUACUACGGUGAAUACGUUCCCGGGCCUUGUACACACCGCCCGUCAAACCAUGAGAGUUGGCAACACCCGAAGUCGGUAGUCUAACCGCAAGGAGGACGCCGCCGAAGGUGGGGUUGAUGAUUAGGGUUAAGUCGUAACAAGGUAAC